UACAGUUAUCCUUGUACCUGCAAGCACAUAUAUUAAUGUAAACGAAAGAGAUACGUUAGGUCCUAUACAUUGUACUGCAACCUGUAAUCCGGAAUGUACAUACCAAUGGGAAUACAAUGUGACAGGGCGUUUUGAAUUAGUUCCAUUCGAAUUCGUAUCAACCCAAGGAAGAACUCUUACAGUGCCAUACAUACAAAGAAGUCAGACAGGAACAUAUCGUUGUCAUGUGGAUAAUUAUGUUACUCAAAUAAAUAUGACAGCAGAGGUAUCAAUCACUGUACAGUGUGCAAAAACCAAGAGUGUUAGACCAAUUGAGACCCAUGGGUAUAAUGAGGUGCAGAGAAGUAAU